GGGAGAGAAAAAAAAGUAUGCCUGUGUAUUUCGAGCGGAGAGCAGCAAGAGGCCUCUCCUCAAGGGAAAGAUGUGGAAACAGCAAGAGAACUAGAAUUGGAAGUAAAGCGUUGAAGAUGUGACUGAAUUGCUGCAAUCUCAUGAUCAAAUUUGAAUGGAUGAGGAGUUGCUUCUUAGGGAUAAGCUAAGAAAGUGGUUUCUUGAGAUGGAAUCUACUGGUGAAGUUGCUAUGAACAUUGUUAAAAUGACAAAGAUUUAGGAAUUACAGAAACCUGGUUGAUAAAGCAGUGCAAGGGUGUGAGAGAGUUGACUUCAAUUUUGAAAUAAGUUCCACUGGCUGAGUGUGGUGGCUCACACCUGCAAUCCCAGUACUUUGAGAGGCCGAGGCUGAUAGAUCACUUGAGGUCAGGAGUUCAAGACCAGCCUGGCCAACAUGGUGAAACCCCACCUCUACCAAAUUAGCCAGAUGUGGUACACACCUGUAGUCCCAGCUACUUGGGAAGCUGAGGCAGGAGAACCUCUUGAACCAGGGAGGAGGAGGUUGCA
rnacentral:antisense_RNA from 1 species